rnacentral:tRNA from 1 species
GCCGGAGUAGCUCAAUUGGUAGAGCAACUGACUUGUAAUCAGUAGGUUGAGGGUUCAAUUCCUUUCUCCGGCACCA